GUUUCUUACAAGAUAUCCAGCCCAGAUCGAUAUUUCCCAAUCGAUUGCUUCCAUACCAGUGUAGCUCUAGCACUUCACGUGCCCACAAUACUGUAGUCAGGUCGGGUAUUUUGCCUUGAAUCUUCCUUUUCAUGCUUGAUUUUGAGUUCUUUCUAUAUUUAUGCUGUUUUAUAUGAGUUAUCAAUCACAUAUGCUCCUAUUAUUGACAUGGUUAAUUGUGCUGCUUGUGCGGGAUUGUUCGUUGACUAAAUGUUUGAUAUAAUGCCGCAAUGAAGUUUGUUGAUGCAAUAGUUGCAUGUUGAUUUCUGUAUUUGUAAUGUAGAGAAUUUGGUUAGCUAAUAAUGAUCUGUAUGCAUGUACGGAAGUUUCUCCAUUCUGCAAAGUGUUUUACAUCCAAGAGAAAUUGUACUGUCCACUUGCAUUUGAUGUUGUAUCACUGCUCAAGAGAAUCCCAGGAUGAAGUUUUGCCUUUUGAGUGGUAUAAGAAAGCUUUCCCAACUAUAACAAAAUUGACCCACCAGUUAAAAAAUGUCGAUUUAAUUGAUGGAAAGUUGGUGAAUAUCAAUGAUGAUUCAAUCGUUAUUGAUGAUCGUAUUGCGGACAAGAUGCAUACAUUGAAGUCACUUGUAAGUGUGUUUAUUGGUUCGCCUUGGGUUCAGCAAAAUCUAAAGGAAAAUGUAGAGGCCAUUUCAGCUAAUACAAAAUUCAAGCCAGUUGUUUCUUUUAGCAAGCUACGUGAAAGAGAGCCCAUGAUUGUGAAUUCCCUAACCAAAAUAAGCAAUUUCCUUAGUGUAUCUGCUCAACAAAGGAAGUUGGUGCGUUCUGCAAUAUGCCCACAGGUGACACAGCACCGGAUAUGGACAGGUGCCCUUGAGGAGAUCCUCAAUGGAUUGAAGUCAGUGAUGGACUCUUUGUAUUGUGAAUCUUCAGGCAAAGGGAGUAACAUGGGGCAGCAGAUAAUUUCUAGCUGUUUAAAGUUCCUAGCUCAUACUGGCAUCUCAGAUCAUGAGUGCACUUCAUGGAUGCAGCUUGGAUCCCAUAAAAGUGUCAAUCCUCAAAGUUCUGGUACAUGGGAAGAAGUUCUUGAGAUGUUCAAUGAUCUCAUUAGGUGUUUGGAAAGCGAGAAGGGAUUACUUUAUCAUGCGGCAAAGAUUGAGGUGAUGAAAGAAGGGUUGUCUCAGAUCAAGGAUGUUUUGGUUGACAAGGGUAUUGGAUACAAGGAGGCUCGGCAUCAGGAAAGCCUGGUGCAGAAGAAGCUCUCCAAAACACUGGGUCACUCUUCACGCUGUUUGUUCACGCUUUUAUUGUAUUACCUCUAUGGACAUGUUAGAGACAUUGAAGUUGAUUUAUGUGGAGGAAUUUAUGGUGGUGAAGGUGGCGCUAGGUUUUGCUUGUGCAUGGGGAGGAUUUUGACUUCAGAUGAGGAGAAGAUGGUUAAGAGCGGGGUGAAGCAGUUGGACAGGGCUCUUGGGCUAUUCAAGUUUAUAUGGGAAACAGCAGGGAUGCAAGGGGUUUUGGAACUGCAAGGUCAUCUGUGGUGUGUUGGGGCCAAGGAUAGGAUACUUACGCAUAGAGGAACCUUGUUCUUUGUACAUGGUAUCUUUGACAAAAAAUGAAAUCAAAAGACCAACUCAGUUGUAAUUUUUCAUAUUUCACAACGAAAUUUGAUCCAAUUACUGCCUGGAAGACACUUUUGCUAUUCUAUCUAUUACUUUGGUUUAUAAAAUUCUUUCAUAGAGACCAAUCUUUAUACUUUCCAGAACACUUAAUACUUUAG
rnacentral:misc_RNA from 1 species